GGUCCAAAGGUAGUGAGUUAUCUCAAUUCAUUAUUCAGUCAAUUAUAGAUCAAAUUUUUGUUCUACUCUUUUCUGCAUUAUCACUGCUGCACUUGAUGUCUUAA
ensembl:Y_RNA Y_RNA Y RNA